rnacentral:rRNA from 1 species
GACGAACGCUGGCGGCGUGCUUAACACAUGCAAGUCGAACGGAAAGGCCUGUCCUUCCUUGUGUUGGGCGGGUACUCGAGUGGCGAACGGGUGAGUAACACGUGAGUGAUCUGCCCCCAACUUGGGUAUAAGCCUGGGAAACUGGGUCUAAUUCCCGAUAGGACUGCAGGGUGGUGCCUGUGGUGGAAAACGAUUUUCUAGUGGUUGGGGAUGAGCUCGCGGCCUAUCAGCUUGUUGGUGGGGUAAUGGCCUACCAAGGCGGCGACGGGUAGCCGGCCUGAGAGGGUGGACGGCCACAUUGGGACUGAGAUACGGCCCAGACUCCUACGGGAGGCAGCAGUGGGGAAUAUUGCACAAUGGGCGGAAGCCUGAUGCAGCGACGCCGCGUGGGGGAUGACGGCCUUCGGGUUGUAAACUCCUUUCGACCGCGAGGAAGCCGCCUGGUUGGAAGGGUGGUGACGGUAGUGGUAGAAGAAGCACUGGCUAACUACGUG